AUUAUUCUGGUUGGUUUCCAGAGUGACAGGUAAGUUUUUGGUCUGUGCAAAGUCUGUUUCCAGUCACUAGUGGCUUUCUGUUUACUUUGCAGAGCUAUUUGCUCUUGGGGACAGAAGCUGACAGUGGCACUCACAGCACAGGCUUGUUAUGGGUCUAGCAGCCUCUGUGGCAUCUCCUGUCACAUUGGGAAAAUGAAGAAUUCCAGGACAUGGGCUUGGAGGGCGCCGGUGGAGCUAUUUCUUCUCUGUGCUGCCCUGGGCUGUCUCAGUUUGCCUGGCUCCAGGUAUUUGAAUUCCAUCUGCGAGUAGAAGAAUAGUCUUUGGUUCUGGAACAGAAAAUGCUGAGACCACCUUCAUAUUGGCCAAAAGAGUUUUUUGUUCUUACUCUUGUAAUCAAGUCAGAUGAUGAAAUCACAAUCACUGUGUCGUAAGACCUAUUAUGUAUUGCCACUCUGUGCCAGCAACUUGGAAACAUUAGCUAUAAUCCUCACAGCUAUUCUAGAGGUGAAAGGCCAUAUUCCUUUGAGUCAAAUGCAGUCAACAAGAGCUUUGCUAAGAGCAGACAGAUGCGGAGUGUGGAUGUUACCCUGAUGCCCAUUGAUUGUGAGCUGUCUAG
rnacentral:sRNA from 1 species